rnacentral:rRNA from 1 species
AUUGAACGCUGGCGGCAGGCCUAACACAUGCAAGUCGAACGAGUGGCGGACGGGUGAGUAAUGUCUGGGAAACUGCCUGAUGGAGGGGGAUAACUACUGGAAACGGUAGCUAAUACCGCAUACCAUCGGAUGUGCCCAUAUGGGAUUAGCUAGUUGGUGGGGUAAAGGCUCACCAAGGCAACGCUCCCUAGCUGGUUUGAGAGGAUGACCAGCCACACUGGAACUGAGACACGGUCCAGACUCCUACGGGAGGCAGCAGUGGGGAAUAUUGGACAAUGGGGGAAAGCCUGAUGCAGCCAUGCCGCAUGUAUGAAGAAGGCCUUCGGGUGGUAAAGUACUUUCGGCGGAGAGGCGGUACCCGCAGAAGAAGCACCGGCUAACUCCGUGCCAGCCGCCGCGGUAAUUC